rnacentral:rRNA from 1 species
UACGGAGGGUGCGAGCGUUGUCCGGAAUCGCUGGGCGUAAAGGGCGCGUAGGUGGCUUAGUAAGCGUGUGGUGAAAGCCCGGGGCUUAACCCCGGGUCUGCCGUGCGAACUGCUAUGGCUAGAGUACUGUAGAGGCAGGUUGAAUUCCGGGUGUAGCGGUGGAAUGCGUAGAGAUCCGGAAGAAUACCGGUGGCGAAGGCGGCCUGCUGGGCAGUUACUGACACUGAGGCGCGACAGCGUGGGGAGCAAACAGG